rnacentral:lncRNA from 1 species
AUACUGUCAGCAGAAUAACACUGACAAGUGUUGAUUAAACUCUAGAGACUGGGCUGUGAACUCUGACAUAAAGCAUACAACACAUUAGAUGAAGCAGUUGGUGUUUGCUGAUGGAGUGAUUGUGUGAAGUGUGGAGCUCCUCCCUCUGUCAGAGUUUCUCUUCUCUAUAUGAGCGUCUCCUUCUCUCUGAUCGUCUUCAUGUCUCUAAACUCAAACUGCUCCUCACAGGCCAGAUCAUGCUGAUCAUCUUCUACUGCUCUCUCCUCACUCUUCUGUCAUGUGUCAGAUGUGCGAAAGUGCUCACUCAGAAACCCUCCAUAAUGACUGAAGACAAGGGCAGAUCUGCGACUCUGGACUGUAAUAUUGAAAGAGAUGAUGGUUUUUAUUAUGUGAACUGGUAUAAACAGACUCCAAACGCAGCUCUUCAGUUUGUGUUGGGAUAUUAUCAUUCUCGCAGCUCACCUGAUCUCUAUGGAGAUGAUUUUACCUCCAGCCGCUUCACAUCUAAAGCUCAGUCAAGUAUUGACUAUAGUCUGAUCAUCAGUAAUGUGGAUGUGAGUGAUUCUGCAUUGUAUUACUGUGGGACAUGGGACAAAUCUGCUAGUGAGGGCGUAUCACAAUGAUUCACAUCAUGACAAAAACCUCCUCACUGCAUUCACUUCUGCUUUUAGACAACAGAGGAUACUGUAAGAGCUCGACUUCACAUUAACAGUGAAUGAAACAGAUAAUUUCAUGUCUUUAUUAUUUUUUAUUAUUAUUUAUUAUUAUUAAUGUCUAUUACUUUGCCUUUAUUUGUGUGCUGUUUGGAUCUGAACAGUUUCUGACUCAGUCUAUAUAGCAGUAUCUGCACAUUAAAGCGACUCGCUCUUUAUUGCAAAGACAGACAAUCAAAGUGAAUACAAACACUUAAUAAUGAUUACAGGACAAACAUUGCUCACUCUCUGUGUGUCCUACACAAUACAGGUGUAACAUCCUUUAAGGCUCUUAUAUCUGAUCAUGACUAGUGCAGUAUAUCAGUGACUCUCUAAUGCUGUGUUGAACUGGAUCUCACUGGUGAGUCUUAAAAUGUCUUAAAUUUCAAAAACUCAAUUUUAGGCCUUAAAAAGUCUUAAAUUGACUGAAAUAUUGUGUUGUAGGACUAAAACCAAUUUAAACAGGUCUUAAUUUUGUAAUGUAAAGCUAUUUAAUUGGGCCGACACACAUCCAAUCACUAAUAAUCCAUCACAAUAAGAGUUUAUUUAUUAACUGUUUUUACUAAUAUGGUGUAAUUAUCUUCCUUACAAUAACAUUUGUUUUAAAUGUUUUAACUGGGUCAUUAGAAAAAAAGUCCUUAGUGUUUAGCCUUGUCUAAGUCUAAAAUUUCAUUCAUAAUGAUUUUAAAAAGGUCUUAAAAGUCUUAAAUGUGAUGUGAUGAAACCUGUAGAAACUCUG